UGCCCUAUGGCGCAAUUGGUUAGCGCGUCAGACUGUUAUCCCUACUUAGGGACUGACAUCUGGAGGCUCUGAGUUCGACCCUCAGUGGGGCAG